rnacentral:tRNA from 1 species
UCCCUUGUGGCUCAGCUGGUAAAGAAUCUGCCUGCAAUGCAGAAGACCUGGGCUUGAUCCCUGGCUUGGGAA